rnacentral:rRNA from 1 species
GAGAGUUAAACAGUACGUGAAAUUGUUGAAAGGGAAACGAUUGAAGCCAGUCGUACCUUCGGGUAAUCAGCCUUUCGGGUGCGAUUCUGUGGAGUUUGAGGAGCUUAACACCUUCAUGCUUUGCAUAUUCGUGCUCUUGGGUGUACUUGCCCGUGUGGUUGGUUAACAUCAAUUUUGGUGGUCAUAAAAUGACUGGAGGAAUGUAGCUUCGAUCUUGUAUUGAAGUGUUAUAGCCUUCGGUAGAUGUGAUGAUCGAGAUUGAGGAUUGCAACGGAUACCCUUCGGGGCUACCUGUCUGAUCUCUGAUCGUUGCUCUGGUGCCGAAAGCUUGCUUACGGUUAUCAAAGUCGAUGGUCAAUAGGUUAGAAUGGGUUAAAUUCGUUAAGGAUGUUGACGUAAUGGCUUUAAACGA